GAUGAACGCUGGCGGCGUGCCUAAUACAUGCAAGUCGAGCGAAUGGAUUAAGAGCUUGCUCUUAUGAAGUUAGCGGCGGACGGGUGAGUAACACGUGGGUAACCUGCCCAUAAAACUGGGAUAACUCCGGGAAACCGGGGCUAAUACCGGAUACCAUUUUGAACCGCAUGGUUCGAAAUUGAAAGGCGGCUUCGGCUGUCACUUAUGGAUGGACCCGCGUCGCAUUAGCUAGUUGGUGAGGUAACGGCUCACCAAGGCAACGAUGCGUAGCCGACCUGAGAGGGUGAUCGGCCACACUGGGACUGAGACACGGCCCAGACUCCUACGGGAGGCAGCAGUAGGGAAUCUUCCGCAAUGGACGAAAGUCUGACGGAGCAACGCCGCGUGAGUGAUGAAGGCUUUCGGGUCGUAAAACUCUGUUGUUAGGGAAGAACAAGUGCUAGUUGAAUAAGCUGGCACCUUGACGGUACCUAACCAGAAAGCCACGGCUAACUACGUGCCAGCAGCCGCGGUAA
rnacentral:rRNA from 1 species